AUGUCGGGCCAGAGGAUGAGCCUUCUCUCCCAAAUCAAUGACAGAGAGAUGUUCUGGAAUGCUAAGGUUCUGGUGUCCCGCAUCUGGCACUACCGAGGUGGGACCGAUGAAGGUGCCAUUAUGCAUACUGACAUUGUGGUGCUUGACAAAGAGGGAACCCACAUGUAUGGCCGGAUCCCUACUGAGCCAGCUAUCCGCCUGCAAGAUGUCUUGCGGGAAGGCAGUGUUUAUCUAAUGAAGAGGUUCAUGUGCAAACCAUCAAAGCCCACUUACAGGGCUGUUGACAGCCCAUUUAUGAUGCAGUUCACUCGCUUUACUACUGUUGAUCCUGUGGUGGAUGAUGAAGAAGAUUUCCCAUACUGCACUUACAGCCUUAUGUCCUUCUCGGAUAUCCCAAUACCAGGCCCACACACUCCUCACUUUAUCGAUGUGAUUGGCCGAAUUAUUGUUGUCACACACAUUGUUGUUGUACACUCACAGCAUCAAGCUGGUCCUUCAGAUACCAGGACUCUGGUUCUCCAGGAUCAAAUCGGAAAUGAAAUCAGCCUUGUUCUCUGGGGUGCUCGAGCCCAUGAGUUCGAGGCAGAAGAGGUCCGUGCUGCAAGUGAAUCCACAGCUGUCAUUGCUAUCUUUGUAGGAACACUGCCAAAAGCAUACCGAGGUAUUAAAGGCCUGAGUGGUAGCUCUGCAUGCCGCUGGUACAUUGAUGAGGACCUGCCAGAGAUGAAUGCCUUUUGUGCUAGCCUUGCAGAAGGGCUUCCUGCCGUCACUGCUCACAUCCCAGGAGAACAAGCGAUUGUUCCAGCACCUGUUCGCGAACCUCCCGUUGAACUGAGUGUUCAGGAGCUGCUUGCCCUUGACCCAUUUGACAACUUGAAGAAACAGUUUAUCGUCAAGGUUACUAUCACAGGCUUGGGCUCUGACAACCGCUGGUGGUUCCUCUCAUGCCGGAAAUGCCAUAAAACAGCCUACACCUCCGGAAGGCAGUACCGUUGCUCAGACUAUGGCUGUUCUUCUAUCAUAGCAGAUCCUUCAUACUGCGUGUGCACUUUCGGAAGCGAUGGCGCAAAUGAAGCAGAAUUUAUGUUCUUUGAUAGGGCUGCAAAACAAGUUAUUGGCAAGCCACUCAUGACUUUGAUUCACCGCAAGUACCCAGGUUUUACAAGUGCGCUUGAUCUUGCUCAGAUAGGAGGUUCUGAUGUAGGUUUGCCUGUUGAAAUUUCCCGCCUUGUUACCCAGAAGUAUAGGCUGGUCGUUUCUAUCUCCAACAAGAGUUUUCAGCCUGCAAGCACCCAGCUGUCCUUCCAAGUUGGUAGAAUUGAUGAAACCUUUAAGCCUGACCUUGUACCCUUUGCAUCUACUAGUGCAUCAUCUGCCUCUGGAGCAUCGUCUUCUGCUGAGGGCUCAGACAUGACAGUGCCCAUUCCCACCUCUUUCUCUAUAGGAUCGUCUACACUCGUUGUGCUACCUCUCGAUGAGAUGAACACUCCUAUAUCUGCAUUCAAAGGAAAAGGACAUGCUAUUGUGUCUAAAACACCCAGCCGGUCCCCAUGCCCAAAAAGUGCUCGCCGCAAGCUUUUUAUUGGUCCCCCUAAGUCUAAGGGCACUGACCUACCUGCCUCCGUUAGCAACGUUACUGCCCAGGCUGGAAAGGUUGUCGCAGUUACCCAAACUGAAGAGAUUGCCGCCGCUGGAAAUGUUGUUCAGCCUACACCCAUGCCAACUGUUGGACAGGAGACUGAAACCACAACUGCUGAGGAUCCAAAGAUCAUCAUUCCUGACCCCUCUAAGGCCAAGAGGACAAACAACCCUAGCAAGGGUGUUGGCGUCCCAAAGUUCUUUCAUGGAGUGGUCGUUCCAUGUUGUAAUCUAAAUAUGUACAUACAGGGUUUCUUCUAUGUUCUGCUUGCUUAUCAAGUAAAGUCUACGAUGGACAGAUGUCGUGCUGAACAGACCUUCUCAACUGUACUGCAUCACAGCAGCGGUUUGGCCAUCGGGUUUGAAGAUCGUCGACUCAGUGCGCUUUUGGGCAUGCACUGGAUUUACUUUUGUGCGGCUUUAUAA
rnacentral:rRNA from 1 species